rnacentral:SRP_RNA from 1 species
GUGUGGGUUCUGUGCGACGGUGCGUUGCGAACCAUGUCAGGCGGGGAACCGAGCAGCAUUAAGCAAGCCGCACGGUGCGCCACAGUCCGCCUGCACGCC